UACGUAGGGUGCGAGCGUUGUCCGGAAUUAUUGGGCGUAAAGAGCUCGUAGGCGGUCUGUCGCGUCGGUCGUGAAAACUUGGGGCUUAACCCUGAGCUUGCGGUCGAUACGGGCAUGACUGGAGUUCGGCAGGGGAGACUGGAAUUCCUGGUGUAGCGGUGAAAUGCGCAGAUAUCAGGAGGAACACCGGUGGCGAAGGCGGCUCACUGGACCAUAACUGACGCUGAGGCACGAAAGCUAGGGGAGCAAACAGG
rnacentral:rRNA from 1 species